UAGGGAAUCUUCCGCAAUGGACGAAAGUCUGACGGAGCAACGCCGCGUGAGUGAUGAAGGUUUUCGGAUCGUAAAGCUCUGUUGCCAGGGAAGAACGCUUACGAGAGUAACUGCUCGUAAGGUGACGGUACCUGAGAAGAAAGCCCCGGCUAACUACGUGCCAGCAGCCGCGGUAAUACGUAGGGGGCAAGCGUUGUCCGGAAUUAUUGGGCGUAAAGCGCGCGCAGGCGGCCUUGUAAGUCUGUCGUUUAAACUCGGAGCUCAACUUCGAGUCGCGAUGGAAACUGCAAAGCUUGAGUGCAGAAGAGGAAAGUGGAAUUCCACGUGUAGCGGUGAAAUGCGUAGAGAUGUGGAGGAACACCAGUGGCGAAGGCGACUUUCUGGGCUGUAACUGACGCUGAGGCGCGAAAGCGUGGGGAGCAAACAG
rnacentral:rRNA from 1 species